GACGAACGCUGGCGGCGUGCCUAAUACAUGCAAGUAGAACGCUGAAGGAGGAGCUUGCUUCUCUGGAUGAGUUGCGAACGGGUGAGUAACGCGUAGGUAACCUGCCUGGUAGCGGGGGAUAACUAUUGGAAACGAUAGCUAAUACCGCAUAAGAGUAGAUGUUGCAUGACAUUUGCUUAAAAGGUGCAAUUGCAUCACUACCAGAUGGACCUGCGUUGUAUUAGCUAGUUGGUGAGGUAACGGCUCACCAAGGCAACGAUACAUAGCCGACCUGAGAGGGUGAUAGGCCACACUGGGACUGAGACACGGCCCAGACUCCUACGGGAGGCAGCAGUAGGGAAUCUUCGGCAAUGGACGGAAGUCUGACCGAGCAACGCCGCGUGAGUGAAGAAGGUUUUCGGAUCGUAAAGCUCUGUUGUAAGAGAAGAACGAGUGUGAGAGUGGAAAGUUCACACUGUGACGGUAUCUUACCAGAAAGGGACGGCUAACUACGUG
rnacentral:rRNA from 1 species